rnacentral:tRNA from 1 species
GGCUCUUUGGCGGAACUGGUAGACGCAGUGGACUCAAAAUCCACCGCCUUCACGGGCGUCCGAGUUCGACUCUCGGAGGAGCCA